rnacentral:tRNA from 1 species
GGGUGAUUAGCUCAGUUGGUAGAGCGCUUCGUUUACACCGAAGAUGCCGGGGGUUCGAGUCCCUCAUCACCCACCA